GAGGCUGUAGCUCAGUGGCAGAGUGCUUGCCUAGCAUACAUGAGGCACUGGGUUCAAUCCUCAGCACCACA
rnacentral:tRNA from 1 species